CCAUUUUGGGUGUUUCAGUGGUGGUCUCAGCAGACCCUUAUGAGCACAAGUCUUCUCCACCACCACCAUAUGAGUACAAGUCUCCACCACCACCCUCACCUUCACCUCCACCAUAUGAAUAUAAGUCUCCUCCCCCACCACCAUAUGAGUACAAGUCUCCACCACCACCCUCUCCUUCACCACCACCAUAUGAGUACAAGUCUCCUCCCCCACCACCAUAUGAGUACAAGUCUCCACCACCACCCUCACCUUCACCUGCACCGUAUGAAUACAAGUCUCCUCCCCCACCACCAUAUGAAUAUAAAUCUCCUCCCCCACCACCAUAUGAGUACAAGUCUCCACCACCACCCUCUCCUUCACCUGCACCAUAUGAAUACAAGUCUCCUCCACCACCACCAUAUGAAUAUAAGUCUCCUCCCCCACCACCAUAUGAGUACAAGUCUCCACCACCACCCUCUCCUUCACCUCCACCAUAUGAGUACAAGUCUCCUCCCCCACCACCAUAUGAGUACAAGUCUCCACCACCACCCUCACCUUCACCUGCACCGUAUGAAUACAAGUCUCCUCCCCCACCACCAUAUGAAUAUAAGUCUCCUCCACCACCCUCUCCUUCACCUGCACCAUAUGAAUACAAGUCUCCUCCACCACCACCAUAUGAAUAUAAGUCUCCUCCUCCACCUUCACCCUCUCCACCACCACCAUAUGAGUACAAGUCUCCACCACCACCCUCUCCUUCACCUGCACCAUAUAAAUACAAGUCUCCUCCACCACCACCAUAUGAAUAUAAGUCUCCUCCUCCACCUUCACCUUCACCUGCACCAUAUAAAUACAAGUCUCCUCCACCACCACCAUAUGAAUAUAAGUCUCCUCCCCACCACCAUAUGAGUACAAGUCUCCACCACCACCCUCUCCUUCACCUGCACCAUAUAAAUACAAGUCUCCUCCCCCACCACCAUAUGAGUACAAGUCUCCACCACCACCCUCUCCUUCACCUGCACCAUAUAAAUACAAGUCUCCUCCACCACCACCAUAUGAAUAUAAGUCUCCUCCUCCACCUUCACCCUCUCCACCACCACCAUAUGAGUACAAGUCUCCACCACCACCCUCUCCUUCACCUGCACCAUAUAAAUACAAGUCUCCUCCACCACCACCAUAUGAAUAUAAGUCUCCUCCUCCACCUUCACCCUCUCCACUACCACCAUAUGAGUACAAGUCUCCACCACCACCCUCUCCUUCACCUGCACCAUAUGAGUACAAGUCUCCUCCCCCACCACCAUAUGAGUACAAGUCUCCACCACCACCCUCACCUUCACCUGCACCGUAUGAAUACAAGUCUCCUCCCCCACCACCAUAUGAAUAUAAGUCUCCACCACCGCCCUCUCCUUCACCUGCACCAUAUGAAUACAAGUCUCCUCCACCACCACCAAUGAAGCCUCCACAUCCACCAUACUACUAUAAUU
rnacentral:lncRNA from 1 species